rnacentral:lncRNA from 1 species
UAUGAAUGUGAUAAAGUAUUGUUGACCAUUCCGACAAGGAGUAGGAAAUGGCCCACAAAAAUAUCCGUAUGUAUCAAUUCUAAGACGUCCGAAUCUCUUACCACCUAAUCUAGUUCUUGUUUGUUUGUUUCCCCUUGAUACACUCAAUACAAAAUUUCCGAAUUUGAGGAAUCAAGAGAAUCAAGAAUUCCAUCUGACACGAGUUUCUGAAUUCUUUGAAUGGAUAUGAGNNN